ACGAACGCUGGCGGCAUGCCUCACCCAUGCAAGUCGAACGAGACCUUCGGGUCUAGUGGCGCACGGGUGCGUCACGCGUGGGAACCUGCCCUUAGGUUCGGAAUAACUCCCCGAAAGGGGUGCUAAUACCGGAUAAUGUCUUCGGACCAAAGAUUUAUCGCCUUUGGAUGGGCCCGCGUUGGAUUAGCUAGUUGGUAGGGUAAAAGCCUACCAAGGCGACGAUCCAUAGCUGGUCUGAGAGGAUGAUCAGCCACACUGGGACUGAGACACGGCCCAGACUCCUACGGGAGGCAGCAGUGGGGAAUAUUGGACAAUGGGCGAAAGCCUGAUCCAGCAAUGCCGCGUGAGUGAUGAAGGCCUUAGGGUUGUAAAGCUCUUUUACCCGGGAUGAUAAUGACAGUACCGGGAGAAUAAGCUCCGGCUAACUCCGUG
rnacentral:rRNA from 1 species